AGAACUACACAUCCUGUCAACAAGCUUUGAUGUCAUUCUUCAAGACGCAGGGUAGAAAAAUUCUCCACAUUUCUCCAUUUGAUUGUUUUCUUAUCUCUGUAAGCGAGAGAAGUCGCUGGAGCUGUGUGAUAAGUACAACAGGAGUAUAUCCCUCAGACAAUCCGGUGCAUGGACAUCUUGUGUCAGGUGUGAUCCGAGCGUGAGCGUCUAGUUGUGGAGACUACAGCAGAUCGAGCCUGUGGACGGACAGACAUGAGGCGUGACAUGCGGAACAUCAAGCUCACCCCACGAGAAGCAGUGCAUGAUCAACGCCAUCCUCAGCAAGGAGAUCUGCUGGAAGUGAUGUACUCUCUCUCUCUCACUCACUCUGGGGGUAAGACAUAAUUUAAACAUCACAGAUAUAUAUUCCCACUGUGCCCAUGAUAAAAUGCAAUGUAAACUGUUUUACUACUGAAUGAAACUGUGAGGAGAUGCAUUCAGACCAGCCUGUGAAUGAACUUAAGUUAACUAUAUUACUUUAGUUGGCUGCUUUGAGCAAAACGUGAAAAUAAUAUAACCUAUUCUAGGAACCUUUUGUUUGUGUAUGAUCUUUAUUCAUUGUUCACUUGUUUUUCAACAAUGUCAGGUACAGGCAGGGGUGACUGGGGCAUUGUCAGGUACAGGCAGGGGUGACUGGGGCAUCACAUUUAUAAAUUCCCACUGUGCCCAUGAUAAAGUUAACCACAUUACUUUAUUUGUAUGUAAUAUAACCUAUUAUGGGAGCCUAGUGUGUUUGUAUGAACUGUGUGGGAUAUUGUUGGAAUAUGAGUCUGUCAGAGGUUGUCACGCUGGAUGGGGAUGAUGAUGGAGGCUUUGGUGGUCCACACAACGAAGAAGUAGGUGUCCCUUCCAGUGAUGAGGAUCUGACCUUGGACCUGGUACCAGUAAGAAUGGUCUUUACGGAGGUGGUAAGACCCUACCUCCUUGAUAUAGAAAUCCUUUGACUUCACUGCCUCUUCAGUGGUAAGAUCCCUUGCACCAUAAGGACACUUGACCUCCACCACUGCUGUGGUGCCCACCAGGCCAUCCGGUGAGGCACCCAGGAUCCCAGACUCCAUGACCCAAAGCCUUGACUCCUGCAGAUCCAGCCCUGUAGCCAUUUUUAAUGCCCUCUUUGUUAUCUGUGCCCCACUUUAAUACAACAACCCAUCCAAUGACUGAUCGGAGGACCCUUUUUAGCAGCAACAGAGUAACGGGCUUGGCCCUAACCACUGAUCCAUAACUGCUGGCCGUCAACCUCCCUCCCCUCAUGGUGUGCCAGUUAGGGUUGGUGCGCUGUCCAACUGUUGCCUGCCGUAAAGCCUCCUGCUGCUCCACCGACAGCGCCAUGCCAGCCAGGAUGCCUGCAAGCCGCAGGUUCCCUUGCUUCUAAACAAUGUCCGGUACAGACAGGGAUGACAGGAAGGGUAGCACUUGUUCUGGCUCAGGUUCAUGGAGAUAUGCCAUUCCACUGAACUUGCCCUGGAGACGGUUCCUUAGCCACCUCUGUGGGAUCCCCUGGGCAGAGGGUUGUAGUCUUCGGCCGGGUACAGGUCCUCCACUAACUUCACCUGGUUGGGCAUGGCUGGCUUAGGCUAUAUGGCUACACUUAUGAGCUCCACAGAGGCAUUCGCAUGGAGUAGAGAGAAUCCCCUGGUCACCUAUAGACACCUGCCAAGAGGAAGGAUGUUAAGUGCCACGUCUUUCAAUGCAUGACUUUGAACACCUUAAUUCAUUUGUUAUAAGAAAUGUGCUAUAUAAAAAAAGUUUGAUUUGAUUGAUGACAUUACAGCUGUAGAAUAUUUCAUAAACUGUAAUUUUCUCGAGGACAAGUGCAGUUUUUCUAUACAUUUUUAAUUGAUAACUUGGGAUUUUAUCACUUGACAUGUAAAUCAUAUAGUGGGAAGGAUCCUAUAAAUCAAGACUGUGUAAAUAAAUAAUGUGCCUUUGAAGAUUUGUCUCUGGUCACGCAAAUACAAUACAGACUCGAUGUCUAAACAAAGUCAAUUCUGAAUGUCAAUAGAUUUUUUGAUUCAUUCUCAUCAAUGACAACAUUCUAGAACUGAGUUAUCACUCACCUAAGUCUGGCAUCCGGGGUAAUCUGGUUAAUGAUUAUAUAGUUGAUUAAGUGGCUCUUUCCUUGUAGAACAUUGACAGCUGUAUAGAACACAUUGUAUUGCUAAUAUGCUCAAAUUUAACUUAAUAGAUACACUCACCGACACAGGAUAAACUUUAUCCCUCAUGCUGGCCCUCACCAAACCAGUAAAUUGCACCUCACAAUAGCUGCACUUGUCCACAUUGCCAGAUUUAUAGGGGUCUUCUCCCCUUUUAAUGCUCAUCCUUGAAAAAUGCUAUAAGGUCUUAAAUAGACACCAAAGUCAAUAUACUGUACAAACAACUAUCUAGGCUGAU